AGUACGGGGCGGAACGAGCGGCAGCCGAGAGGGACCAAGGCGGCACCCCACGACCCGCGCACCCCACGGCCCGCCCCACAGCCCGCACGCACCCCACACAUCCCACAACCCACCCGUGAAGCCUCCGGGGGGCGGCCGGCCGGGCCCCCGCCGGGCCAGCCCCGGGUCGCGGCGGCGCUCACCCGAGAUGGCGGACAGGAGGUAACGGGGAGCCGGGGGGCUGCGGAGUGGGGAGAGGGAAACGGGGGUGGGGGGGGGGGGCGGCGACGGACGGGACCCUGCCCCCCCCCCAAAAUAAAAAUAAAAAAUAAAAAUGCGGAGCGUUAUUUGGAAGAGCCGCGGCCGUGCGGGGAGCCCCCAAACUUGUGUGUGGGGCCGCGCCCGGCAGCGGGAUCCCGGAAAGGGGGGGGCUGCCCGGUGGGGACACCCCCACACCACCCUCCUCCUCCUCCUCUUCCUCCUCCUCCUCUUCCUCCCCCCCGCCCGCAGCAGGAGGGGGCUCCCGAGGCCGAGGUCCGGCGGCGUCCCCCGCGCUGUGGGGAAGUUACCGGGGGGUACGGGAAGGGCUCGGUGCCCCCCCCCCCGGGACUGAUGAUGAUGAUGAAGAUGAUGAUGAUGAUGGUGGUGGCAGCAGGCGCGUCACUUACCGGCGGGGCCGGAGCGAGAGAGCCCCGUCGCGCAGGGGGAGUCCCCGCGCAGCCCCCUCCCCGCCGCCUCGCCUUCCUCCUCCUCCUCCUCCUCCUCCUCCUCCUCCUCCUCCCUGCCGGGGUGCCGGAGGUGGCCAGACACCGCGCGGAGAGCUUCUCCUCCCCCAUUGUUCCCAGACUUUUUUUUUUUUUUUUUCUUUUCCCUUUGCCUUUUGUUAUUUGCCCUCGCAUCGUGUUGUUUGUCUCCGAAGCCGCCUCAUGACCGGCAAAGGGAUUUCACCUCGUCCUUGAGAGACAGACAGACACGCGGGGGGAAGAGAGAGGGACGGGAGGGAAGGAGGAGGGGGGCGAGGCAGAGCGCACCCGGCACCCCCGGCCCCGCCAGGCCCCCGCCGAGCACCCAGCGCCCGGAGGAGCCGAGCGAGCCCAGCGGGUAGGUGCGCGGCCGCCGCCGCCCUCGGCUUUCCCCUUCCCCUCCCCAGCCCCGCCGCGCACCUCCGAAGUUUGGCACAACUCCUCCCUCCUCCUCCUCCUCCUCCUCGCCCCCCGGGCAGCCAGCCGUGCCCCCCGCUUUGUCAGCAAAGUUAGGGGGGGGGCUUCGUACCCCCCCCCCCCUCCCGGCUCGGGAGGGACGUGCCCGGCUCGCCCCGGGGGCGGCCAAGGGGGAGAGAGAGAGCCCAUGGGGAGCCGUGGGAUUUUGGGUAAUAAGUGUGGGAAUCUGCCAGGGGAGUAGGUCGAAGAGUGAUUUGUUUUCGUGCUGCUCAUGAAUAAUGGCCUCUAGCAUUUAUUUAUUUAUUUUCCUUAAACCGGCAGGCCAGAUGAUUUAUUUAUUUAUUUUAAGAGAGAUGCGUUUUGCUCCAUCUCUGUCAGAGAGCGAAGUGUUAACUUCAAAUUAAAAACAACAACAACAACAACAACUUUUAUUCCAGUUGUAUUACUGGAAGAUAUCGUGUCCCGGCUGGCCCUCUCCCAGUUUAAAGAAAGGCAGCAGCCUGCCGUCCUGAAGUGAACCACUCAGAUUAAAAAACAGCUUCUUUUACAUGAGGGGCUUGUACUGAAUUCUUCUUCAUCAACAUAUUUUAUCACCUGAAGGGUACCUGAAAACAGCUACUUUUAUCAGCUGCUGCUUCUGUAUCCCCUUAAUCCUACUUAGUGCUGAAACAUACAUCACUGCCUCCAAAAUGAACCCUUCAUCCUGAAAAUGCGCUAUUUACAACUGGUAAACUGGGACACUUUUUCUCUAUUAUUAUUAUUUAGCUGUAAUAUCUGACAAACAUAUUGCCAGCUUUGUAUUAUGAGGCUUCUCCAGCUGAAACGGGAAAGGCUGGCACGGAUUUGUUAUGUUUUGUGCAGGGAUAGCGUAGCUAUUCUGUCAUAAUUUGAACACAAGAACCCAAUAAACACGUGGCCAUUAUGUGUGGAAAUCCUGCAACAGAGCUUUCUGGCUGAACUUAAACUGUUUUGAUUGAGAGUUACACUGUAAGGAGUACACGACUUGAAAGCCACAAGUGUCUUUUGUAAACAGAUGGACAUUUGAGAUGUAUUGACUGUUUGAAGUUAAUUCAGUUAACAUGUGCGUGCACAUGUAUCUAAUUUUGCCUGCUCUAAGUUUUUCUAAGCGAUGGAAGCUAAUAGACUCUUUUUGGAAAGAAAAUACAAGCAUGUGAAUUUUGUCAGGAGAUGCUUGAGCUGCAGCUGUAGAGGCUCUUACGGACUGCGAUCGUCCUGUUGUCAUGCUCAUGUAGUAGCAGGUGGGAGUUGCAGAGAGCUUACCGCGUUCCAGUUAAGUAUGCAGGUAGUGUGCUAAUGAAUUUUGAAACAGUAAGAUAACGUUCCUGGUGUCACUAUACUGAGAAAGUAUAAAAGUGCUUAAACGUGCACAUUGCUGCACCGUUACCGUACGUACUACCUGCCAAAACCAGUUAGGUGGAGCAGUAUCAUUAAACUGUCAGAUGUAUUGUUUGCAGUGGGAUAGUUCCUUAGUGCUCAGGAUGGAGAAACAGCAGCUUUCUGUUACUCAUCGUGAAAAUAUACCGCUACAUUCCAAGAAGGUUUUUGUAAGUGGCGCAGCUAGCUAUCACUACAUAAAGCAUAGAAGGAGAUUGAGACUUGGCAUCUCUGACAGUGCUGCUGUAAUGUAACGUGUACACAGGAGCUUUGUUUCUGCCUGCCGCUCGUACUUAGCCUGAUGUAAAACACUGCGAUGUUGGCAUAUGGAUACACCAAAAAAUAGAGCAUUUGUUGAAAAAUAAGAUUUCCAGCAUUUAGGAGAAAGUAAAUGAACAGUCCUUCUAAAAAUACAAUAGUAUGUUACAAUAUUGCCAAAGCGCUGCUGGGACGCUGUUGUAAGCUGUCAUAUUUUUUGACCAUUAUAAAUAGAUUAGUAUUAUUAUUACAAGGAUUUUUUUCUUGUUAGCAAAGAAGAUUUUUCCCUGUUUUCUGCAUAAGGAUCCUCGCAUGUUCCUUGACCGGGUGAAGGCAGUGGGAAUGUUGCUUGUGAAGGAAGUGGGUAGCUGGGCCUUGCACCGUGGGAGUGGCCCCUGUGAAGUCUGUGGAGUCUCCUGAACUGUAAACUCUUCUUUGUAGCCUCAGUUUUGCUGAUAUUCCCCGUUUCUUCAAGACAUUAGAGAUGGUCUAAUUCGUCAUUCAUGAUCCGGUAUCCAGAUCCAGAUCUGGUUUAAGCAGUGUACUAAUUUAGUGCUGAAGCAAGAACCAGUGCUCAGCGGUGUUGAAACACUGGGAGUGUUUGGGAGUUUUCUUCCUUUUCUGUGGUGUCCAUAGAGCAGAUGAGGAAAACUUCCUUUCAGAUCAGUGACCAAACUGUAGAACUGUGGGAGUUUGAAGCAAGAUCUGUUUCCUCUUUGUGAAAUUCAGUAACAGAUAAGAAAAUUCAGGUCAAGACCAAACCAUUACAUUCACAUCCCACAUUUAGUUAUGAUGCAAUUACUCCUUCAUUGGCAUUCUGUGGAGAGUGGCUGCUACAGAUAAAGUGGAUUUCAGAGUGCUUGUGUACUGGCUCUUAAAGCAGCUUGAGUUUGCGUGUCGCUUUCUCCACUGGUGGACAUGUAGGAAAGUGUAAGACUGUCAUUCUUGUAGUCCUCUGUGUCUCAGGCAUCUUCAAGAUUGUAGUAGAUGCACACACACAGCACAUACCCAUUAUGUUCUGCAAACGUAAACGUAAAGUCCAAACAGCUUUUUGCUGCUUGCAGAGCACACACUGUUUAUAGUGGCACAUAUUUCCAGAUGAGAAGACUGUAUGCCUCAUGACAGUUUGAGGAGGGUCUUCUCUAAUAUUUCUGACAGCUUUAUUUUCUGUCUUCUUCAGCCUCUUUCUUCCUCUUUGAGCUGCAAACGUAGAUUGAGACUCAGGUAAUACAUAAGAGGAUCCUUUAAUGUUGGCUAUUUUCAGAGGCACAAAGGACAAUUACUUUCUCUUCCUACUAACCUCCUGCUGGCUUACUAGCUGCUUGGGAGGCUGGUGAUUUUAAGAAUGCCACUUUACCCAGUGCAUCAAAUACCGAGCAAAUCUUUGCUCACCAAGAUUCCAGCUCCUACACCCCAUGGUAACACCAAAAAUUGAACUUGAGUGGCCCAGAGCACCAGCUCCUACUGUGAUGACUCAUACAACCAUCAGCACUUUUUAGACUUAAAUUUGAUCCAUUGGCCCUGAGCAGUGCUGACAAUUGCCAGCUAAAAGACCCUUCUGUGAAUUGUCCUUUAACGGGAGUCUUUUUUUUUAUUUUCUUGUCCCAUUUCCUGUUGUUUUAAAUAAAAAGAAAUCGUGGUGACAAAGCUAAAGUGUAUUCUGUGAUUAUUGUUGAAAAGAGAAGAGUAUUUACCUAUAUUUCAAGGAAAUGAAUUGCGCGAAAACUGCAGGUCAAAGUUAUUUAUAGUAAGGGUAAUAUUCUUCACUACUGUACAAUCUUCUCAAGUAAAAAUCUUGCAUGAUUUAAAAUUAUACUUUUAUGCAUGAGUACGCAAUCCUUUGAAUGGUUUUAGUUAAAAUACAUGUAGAAUGUCUAUACUGUAUUAAAACUCCAUUAGUCUGAUAAAGGACACAGAACACUUAAACCUGUCUUUUUUAGUUUGUGAGCGUGUCCUCAGAGAAAUUGAGCAGCCUCAACUGCCCAGUGCAAUUUUAUGAUAUUUUAUACACUCCACGAGGAUCACAGAGUUUUACAGAACAUGACCCAAAUAAAACCACAUCCCUUGGGGGAAGCAAUUUCAAUUUGAAGUCUCCUGGUCUUUGGCAGGGUGGUCCAGGUUCUACUUGAAAUGAGUCUAAAAGGUCUUGGGAAAGCUG
ensembl:lncRNA